rnacentral:rRNA from 1 species
UGCAAGUCGUACGAGAAGGGGCUUCGGCCCUGAGUAGAGUGGCGCACGGGUGAGUAACGCGUGGGUAAUCUGCCCUUGGAUUUGGAAUAACUCCGCGAAAGUGGAGCUAAUACCGGAUAGUCUGGCUUUUUAACGAAGUCGGUAAAGGAUGCCUCUGCAUAUGCAUUCGUCCGAGGAUGAGCCCGCGUCUCAUUAGCUAGUUGGUAGGGUAAUGGCCUACCAAGGCAACGAUGAGUAGCUGGUCUGAGAGGAUGAUCAGCCACACUGGAACUGAAACACGGUCCAGACUCCUACGGGAGGCAGCAGUGGGGAAUAUUGCGCAAUGGGCGAAAGCCUGACGCAGCAACGCCGUGUGAGGGAUGAAGGCUUUCGGGUCGUAAACCUCUGUCAGAAGGGAAGAACGGGCAUUGGUCUAAUAGGCCUUUGUUUUGACGGUACCUUCAGAGGAAGCACCGGCUAACUCCGUGCCAGCAGCCGCGGUAAUACGGAGGGUGCAAGCGUUAUUCGGAAUUACUGGGCGUAAAGCGCACGUAGGCCGCUUUGUAAGUCAGGGGUGAAAUCCCACGGCUCAACCGUGGAACUGCCCUUGAAACUGCGAAGCUUGAAUCCUGGAGAGGGUGGCGGAAUUCCUGGUGUAGGAGUGAAAUCCGUAGAUAUCAGGAGGAACACCGGUGGCGAAGGCGGCCACCUGGACAGGUAUUGACACUGAGGUGCGAAAGUGUGGGGAGCAAACAGGAUUAGAUACCCUGGUAGUCCACACCGUAAACGAUGGAUACUAGGUGUCGGGGACUUGAUCUUCGGUGCCGUAGCUAACGCGUUAAGUU